GUAAGGAAUAUUGGUCAAUGGGCGAAAGCCUGAACCAGCCAUGCCGCGUGAAGGAUGAAGGUCCUCUGGAUUGUAAACUUCUUUUACAGGGGAAGAAACCCGAGAAUUCUUUUUCGGUUGACGGUACCCUGGGAAUCAGCACCGGCUAACUCCGUGCCAGCAGCCGCGGUAAUACGGAGGGUGCAAGCGUUAUCCGGAUUCACUGGGUUUAAAGGGUGCGUAGGUGGAUUGGUAAGUCCGUGGUGAAAUCUCUGAGCUUAACUCAGAAACUGCCGUGGAUACUACCGGUCUUGAAUAUUGUGUAGGUGAGCGGAAUAUGUCAUGUAGCGGUGAAAUGCUUAGAUAUGACAUAGAACACCUAUUGCGAAGGCAGCUCACUACACAACCAUUGACACUGAGGCACGAAAGCGUGGGGAUCAAACAGGAUUAGAUACCCUAGUAGUCC
rnacentral:rRNA from 1 species